rnacentral:rRNA from 1 species
UACGAAGGGGGCUAGCGUUGCUCGGAAUCACUGGGCGUAAAGCGCACGUAGGCGGAUUGCUAAGUCAGGGGUGAAAUCCUGGAGCUCAACUCCAGAACUGCCCUUUGAUACUGGCGACCUUGAGUCCGGGAGAGGUGAGUGGAACUGCGAGUGUAGAGGUGAAAUUCGUAGAUAUUCGCAAGAACACCAGUGGCGAAGGCGGCUCACUGGCCCGGUACUGACGCUGAGGUGCGAAAGCGUGGGGGAGCAAACAGG